rnacentral:rRNA from 1 species
GCAAGUCGAACGAAACUCUUUGGAGUUGAGUGGCGGACGGGUGAGUAACGCGUGAGAAUCUGCCUUUAGGAUGGGGAUAACAUUGGGAAACCAAUUUAAGACCCGAUGUGCCCUACGGGGUGAAAAGUGAAAACUGCCUGAAGAGGAGCUCGCGUCUGAUUAGCUAGAUGGAGAGGUAAAAGCUCACCAUGGCGACGAUCAGUAACUGGUCUGAGAGGAUGAGC